CUGAUUCAUUCGGGGUGCUGCUUACGUGAGUGCGGAGCGGCUGAGAAAAUACCCGGGAUCCUGAUCAGGGUAAUGCCUGCGGAGGUAAUAUGAACGAGAAAACUA
rnacentral:ncRNA from 2 species